rnacentral:rRNA from 1 species
GACGAACGCUGGCGGCGUGCCUAAUACAUGCAAGUAGAACGCUGAAGAGAGGAGCUUGCUCUUCUUGGAUGAGUUGCGAACGGGUGAGUAACGCGUAGGUAACCUGCCUUGUAGCGGGGGAUAGCUAUUGGAAACGAUAGCUAAUACCGCAUAACAAUGGAUGACACAUGUCAUUUAUUUGAAAGGGGCAAUUGCUCCACUACAAGAUGGACCUGCGUUGUAUUAGCUAGUGGGUGAGGUAAUGGCUCACCUAGGCGACGAUACAUAGCCGACCUGAGAGGGUGAUCGGCCACACUGGGACUGAGACACGGCCCAGACUCCUACGGGAGGCAGCAGGAGGGAAUCUUCGGCAAUGGGGGCAACCCUGACCGAGCAACGCCGCGGGAGUGAAGAAGGGUGUCGGAUCGUAAAGCUCGGUUGUAAGUCAAGAACGGGUGUGAGAGUGGAAAGUUCACACUGUGACGGUAGCUUACCAGAAAGGGACGGCUAACUACGUG